ACAGCCUGAAUGUGUUACAGCCUGAAUGUGUUACAGCCUGAAUGUGUUACAGCCUGAAUUUAAAAUGAUUAAAUGUCGUUUGUCACUGGCCUACACACCAUAAUUACAAAGUGGAACAUGUUUUUAGAUUUUUUUGACAGAUUCGUAAAAAAUGAAAAGCUGAAAUGUCUUAAAUCAAUAAGUAUUCAACACCGUUGUUAGGACAAACCGAAAUAAGUUCAGGAGUAAAAAUGUGCUUAACAAGUCACAUAAUAAGUUGCUUGGACUCUGUGUGCAAUAGUGUUUAACAUGAGUUUUGAGUGACUACCUCAUCUCUGUACCCCACACAUAUAAUUAUCUGUAAGAUCCCUCCGUCCAGCAGUGAAUUUCAAACACAGAUUCAACCACAAAGACCAGGGAGGUUUUCCAAUGCCUCGCAAAGAAGGGCACCUAUUGGUAGAUGGGUACAAAUAAAAAAGAAGACAUUGAAUAUCCUUUUGAACAUGGUGAAUAAACACAUGUAUUUCAUCCAUGUUGUCACGAGGUUGUGUGUAGAUGGGUGAGAAACACAUGUAUUUCAUCCAUUUUGUCACGAGGUUGUGUGUAGAUGGGUGAGAAACACAUGUAUUUCAUCCAUUUUGUCACGAGGUUGUGUGUAGAUGGGUGAGAAACACAUGUAUUUCAUCCAUUUUGUCACGAGGUUGUGUGUAGAUGGGUGAGAAACACAUGUAUUUCAUCCAUUUUGUCACGAGGUUGUGUGUAGAUGGGUGAGAAACACAUGUAUUUCAUCCAUUUUGUCACGAGGUUGUGUGUAGAUGGAUGAGAAACACAUGUAUUUCAUCCAUGUUGUCACGAGGUUGUGUGUAGAUGGGUGAGAAACACAUGUAUUUCAUCCAUUUUGUCACGAGGUUGUGUGUAGAUGGGUGAGAAACACGUGUAUUUCAUCCAUGUUGAAUCCAGGCUGUAACAACAUGUGGAAUAGGUCAGGAGGUAUGAAUACGUUGUGAAGACAGAUUAUAGAAAGAGUCUGGCUCUGUUGGGGUCACCUAUAGGCCUGUAGUUUAGAGAGGAGACAGGGGACAGACAGCCUCGUAAGAAGAGAACAGUCGGUGUAGGUUUACUAAAGGCAAGUAAAACGAGCUUUAACUUUUCAUGAAUGAAUAAUGAGCA